UACGUAGGGUGCAAGCGUUGUCCGGAAUUAUUGGGCGUAAAAGAGCUCGUAGGCGGUUUUGUUGCGUCGGCUGUGAAAUCCCGAGGCUCAACCUCGGGUCUGCAGUCGAUACGAGCAAACUAGAGUGUUGCAGGGGAGACUGGAAUUCCUGGUGUAGCGGUGAAAUGCGCAGAUAUCAGGAGGAACACCGGUGGCGAAGGCGGGGUCUCUGGGCAACAACUGACGCUGAGGAGCGAAAGCGUGGGGAGCGAACAGG
rnacentral:rRNA from 1 species